rnacentral:rRNA from 1 species
UACGUAGGGUGCGAGCGUUGUCCGGAAUUAUUGGGCGUAAAGAGCUCGUAGGCGGCUUGUCGCGUCGGAUGUGAAAGCCCGGGGCUUAACCCCGGGUCUGCAUUCGAUACGGGCAGGCUAGAGUUCGGUAGGGGAGAUCGGAAUUCCUGGUGUAGCGGUGAAAUGCGUAGAUAUCGUGAGGAAGACCAGUGGCGAAGGCGGGUCUCUGGACAGUUCCUGACGCUGAGGCGCGAAGGCCAGGGGAGCAAACGG